UGGCACCUGCCAGAGGAAGGAGCGAGAAACCUGGAUGUGCCAGCCUGGCAGAAAGAACGCUGCCUUCCACUGCGUUGAGGGCCUUCGGGGAAAUACAAAUCUCCUUCUUUAUUAUUGAAGUCCCUCUGAUUUUAUGUCCCACUUCACCCCAGGGUGAUGACUGAAAAAUCACUGGUUCCUCACACCUUUGGGUUUCACCUGAAACUGGGUGUGGAUCGGGCCCUGGUUCAGGAACAGAAAGGGACCGUCCCAACACACACCCACCCCCCCCCCCAACCCCCCCCCCACACCAUCGCAGUUUUCUGGCUCUGGAUGAUAAAUAUAACUGAAUCAGGUCAUUUAACUUACCAUAAUCGCCUCAGGCACCAGGCUUACCACUGAGGCCGAGGCCUCUCUUCCCAAAGAAGCACCUGGGAGGUUUGAGAUGAAGGGAUGGGACCAGGUUCCCCUUGACCAGUGACAACUGGCCCUGGGAUUCAGUGCCAAUUUUCUUGGCUGUGCCUGUCAGCUCUGCCACGUACCUCCCUUCUCCUCAACUCACUGGGAGCUUUUUACCGGCCUUCCAGACCAACCAGGAUGGGAGCCAAGUUGCAGGGAGGAGGGCUCUUGGGAAAGGUGGUAAAGAAAUGGCAGGGUUCUUUCAGCCGGGGGAUUAAGCCACCUCCCAUUUUCAGCAUACGCAGAAUGUUGGCGGGGUUGGAGCAAGAAAGGCGCCAAGAGCCCGGACCUGGAGGCCAGACCAAAAAGUUGCGAACUGACGGCACCUACCGGCAACCCUUAAGACUGCAGGAGGGCUGACGUGUUCCGGUCGGACACAAGGACUCUCAGUCACAUCUCAAGGAUAAAGUUGGCUCCCCACUGUCCCAUCUGCCUUGGAGGAAGGUAAACAGAACAGGUUCUUCAAGCUCCUGAGGAAGCCAGCGUUUUUUCUGGUUCAAAAGCCAGUCCCUGCUCCUUCCCACCCCCCCUCCCACCCGUUCUCUUCCUUAAAUCCAGUCGGCCUUCUACUUAAUGGAUGAACUUGAAGUCUAUCUCUAGUUAAAAGGAAGGCUGAUUAUGACCCCCUAUUCCACCCACCUCUUGGAACUCCUGUGGGAAUAAAUGGACCCAUAAGGACAGUUUUGAAGUCCAGUGCCCAACUCGCCUGCCAGACAGCAAACCCAGGAUGAGUUUGGUGAUGAGUGCUGGUGAAGGUGGCCGGUCUGUACAGAAUUCUAGAUGAGACAGAUGCCCCGACUCCUCAACCGCGGCACCUCCUCCGCCCCCAACCCAUCCUCUGGUGUCCUUCCCAUCACUGCCUAGAUUCAUUCCCAGGAAGCCAGAGACCAAAAACUGUUCUUUCCACAUAUGGUACGUUCACUAAGCACCUGUUGUCUUGAGAAUAAAGUGAAGACCAAAACCA